rnacentral:lncRNA from 1 species
GAAAAGUAAAAACCUACCCCCAAACCCAUCCUCCUGGUCAUUUCCUUCAUCUCUUCGCCGAAAAACACCAAGACAAAGCCACCACAUUCUCCACCAUCACUUUACUAUGUAUAAUCACAUCGUAACUAAUUAUUUGCCGUCUGAAAAUCAAUUUUCACCUUCUCAACCCUUUCCCCCUUUCAUCUUAUUCUCUCAAUCUCAUUAUUCAAGAAACCCAUUUCAUUUUAGUAAUCAACUUCAAAAAUCCUCUUUUUUAGAUCUUAUUUUUUCGCUUAAAUAAUCCUUUUUUUGAACCCAUUUUAAUCUAGAUUGAGCAUCACGGUGGAUUGAUUCUUGAGCCUUUGCCGUAGGUGGCAAAUCCAGAGGCUUAUGCGUAAUGGGAAGCUGAUGUUGUUUUGUCUUUGGCGUACGGUAGUCGUUUUGCGAGGAAAUCUGGGCGCUGGAAAAUUUCUUGUGCCAGAGAAGGACCUGGAUGAGAUUCGAGAAACGUUUUCAUAGAUUCGUAGGUGGGUCGAACAACGCUAUGUGCUGGAAGAGUCAAUGGCUGAUCAAAGGCAGCAAAAAUAUAGUUCAUCGACUGAUGCUUCAGAAAAUGGUAGGAAUAAGGAAGAUAUUGAAGGAUGAAGAUGAUGGAACCGAAGAAAUUAAAUUGUUUUUUGGUAUGGGUUUGUAAAGUGAGAUGAGGUGGUUUUGGUGGUGUCAAGAUCAGGUGAUUUCUCCGGCAUUACGUGGGUGGUGGUGACGACAAUGCCAGUGGUUGUCUUUUUUCUUUUUCUUUUUUUUUUUUUUUUAAUUUUGGGGUAGGUACGUUGGGUAGGGGGUUGGGGUAGAUUUCUUUCAUUUUUUGGCUUUUUUAUUGAAU